rnacentral:rRNA from 1 species
UACGUAGGGGGCAAGCGUUGUCCGGAAUCAUUGGGCGUAAAGCGCGCGUAGGCGGCUCGUUAAGUCUGCUGUGAAAGUCCAGGGCUCAACCCUGGGAUGCCGGUGGAUACUGUCGAGCUCGAGUCCGGAAGAGGCGAGUGGAAUUCCUGGUGUAGCGGUGAAAUGCGCAGAUAUCAGGAGGAACACCAAUGGCGAAGGCAGCUCGCUGGGACGUGACUGACGCUGAGACGCGAAAGCGUGGGGAGCAAACAGG